rnacentral:miRNA from 1 species
GAGCCGGGCCCCGCGGGGCUCC